GAGUGGCGGACGGGUGAGUAAUGUCUGGGGAUCUGCCCGAUAGAGGGGGAUAACCACUGGAAACGGUGGCUAAUACCGCAUAACGUCGCAAGACCAAAGAGGGGGACCUUCGGGCCUCUCACUAUCGGAUGAACCCAGAUGGGAUUAGCUAGUAGGCGGGGUAAUGGCCCACCUAGGCGACGAUCCCUAGCUGGUCUGAGAGGAUGACCAGCCACACUGGAACUGAGACACGGUCCAGACUCCUACGGGAGGCAGCAGUGGGGAAUAUUGCACAAUGGGCGCAAGCCUGAUGCACCCAUGCCGCGUGUAUGAAAAAAGCCUUCGGGUUGUAAAGUACUUUCAGCGGGGAGGAAGGCGAUGGGGUUAAUAACCCCGUCGAUUGACGUUACCCGCAGAAAAAACACCGGCUAACUCCGUGCCACCACCCGCGGUAAUACGGAGGGUGCAAGCGUUAAUCGGAAUUACUGGGCGUAAAGCGCACGCAGGCGGUCUGUUAAGUCAGAUGUGAAAUCCCCGGGCUUAACCUGGGAACUGCAUUUGAAACUGGCAGGCUUGAGUCUUGUAGAGGGGGGUAGAAUUCCAGGUGUAGCGGUGAAAUGCGUAGAGAUCUGGAGGAAUACCGGUGGCGAAGGCGGCCCCCUGGACAAAGACUGACGCUCAGGUGCGAAAGCGUGGGGAGCAAACAGGAUUAGAUACCCUGGUAGUCCACGCCGUAAACGAUGUCGACUUGGAGGUUGUUCCCUUGAGGAGUGGCUUCCGGAGCUAACGCGUUAAGUCGACCGCCUGGGGAGUACGGCCGCAAGGUUAAAACUCAAAUGAAUUGACGGGGGCCCGCACAAGCGGUGGAGCAUGUGGUUUAAUUCGAUGCAACGCGAAGAACCUUACCUACUCUUGACAUCC
rnacentral:rRNA from 1 species